ACGCUGGUGGUGUAAAUUCUAGCAUCGCUGCCCAGAAAGCAGAACGUGCGGGUUCAAGUCCCGCCCAGCGCA
rnacentral:tRNA from 1 species